rnacentral:rRNA from 1 species
UACGUAGGGUGCGAGCGUUAUCCGGAAUUACUGGGUUUAAAGGGUGCGUAGGCGGCUAUGUAAGUCAGGAGUGAAAGUUUGCGGCUCAACCGUAAAAUUGCUUUUGAUACUGCAUAGCUGGAAUUAGGAUGAGGUCAGCGGAAUGUGGCAUGUAGCGGUGAAAUGCAUAGAUAUGCCAUAGAACACCAAUCGCGAAGGCAGCUGACUAGACCUGGAUUGACGCUGAGGCACGAAAGCGUGGGGAGCGAACAGG